rnacentral:rRNA from 1 species
AUUGAACGCUGGCGGCAGGCCUAACACAUGCUAGUCGAACGACUGGCGGACGUGUUAGUCAUGUCUGGGCAACUGCCUGCUGUAUGGGGAUAACUACUGGAAAAGGUAGCUAAUACCCCCUACCAUCAGAUGUGCCCAGAUGGGAUUAGCUGGUUGAUGGGGUAACGGCUCACCAAGGCGACGCUCCUUAGCUGGUCUGAGAGGAUGACGAGCCACACUGGAACUGAGACACGAUCCAGACGCCUACGAGAGGCAGCAGUGGGGAAUAUUGCACAAUGGGCGAAAGCCUGAGUCAGCCGUGCAGCGUGUAUGAAGAAGGACGUCGGGUUGCAAAGUACUUUCAGCGUGGAGGCGUUACCCGCAGAAGAAGCACCGGCUAACUCCAUGCCAGCAGCCGCGGUAAUAC